rnacentral:misc_RNA from 1 species
UGGGGUUCUAAGUUUGGAUGAGAGAUUAUAAGUUUGUUGAUAUACUUGAUACAUCUAGUCUUUUGAUGAGCUAUUUUUAUAAAUAUGGGAUUCGAGUUUGUGAUUUAAUAUGAAACGUUACUUUUUGUUCUUGAUUUCUUUAAUGAGCUAAGCUCUUUUAGCUUAAGAGUUUGUUGAUUAAUGUAAAGACAUGGACUUGGUGAAGGAUGGGGAAAUUUAG